AGAAUCAACGCUGGCGGCGUGCCUAACACAUGCAAGUCGAACGAGAAAGUGGAGCAAUCCAUGAGUAAAGUGGCGCACGGGUGAGUAACACGUGACUAACCUACCUUUUAGUGGGGGAUAACCUAGGGAAACCUGGGCUAAUACCGCAUAAUACCUACGGGUCAAAGCAGCAAUGCGCUGAAAGAGGGGGUCGCGGUCGAUUAGUUAGUUGGCAGGGUAAUGGCCUACCAAGACUGUGAUCGAUAUCCGGCCUGAGAGGGCGCACGGACACACUGGAACUGAAACACGGUCCAGACUCCUACGGGAGGCAGCAGUGGGGAAUUUUGCGCAAUGGGGGAAACCCUGACGCAGCAACGCCGCGUGGAGGAUGAAGUCCCUUGGGACGUAAACUCCUUUCGAUCGGGACGAUAAUGACGGUACCGGAAGAAGAAGCCCGGCUAACUCGCGCCAGCAGCCGC
rnacentral:rRNA from 1 species